UACGUAGGGCGCAAGCGUUAUCCGGAAUUAUUGGGCGUAAAGAGCUCGUAGGCGGUGUGUCGCGUCGGCCGUGAAAACCUGCAGCUUAACUGUGGGCGUGCGGUCGAUACGGGCAUCACUGGAGUUCGGCAGGGGAGACUGGAAUUCCUGGUGUAGCGGUGAAAUGCGCAGAUAUCAGGAGGAACACCGGUGGCGAAGGCGGUUCUCUGGGCGAUUACCUGACGCUGGAGGAGCGAAAGCAUGGGGAGCGAA
rnacentral:rRNA from 1 species